UACGUAGGGUCCGAGCGUUGUCCGGAAUUACUGGGCGUAAAGAGCUCGUAGGUGGUUUGUCGCGUUGUUCGUGAAAACUCACAGCUCAACUGUGGGCGUGCGGGCGAUACGGGCAGACUGGAGUACUGCAGGGGAGACUGGAAUUCCUGGUGUAGCGGUGGAAUGCGCAGAUAUCAGGAGGAACACCGGUGGCGAAGGCGGGUCUCUGGGCCGUAACUGACGCUGAGGGGCGAAAGCGUGGGGAGCGAACAGG
rnacentral:rRNA from 1 species